CGAAAGCGUUUUUAACAGCGCAAAACCCACUGUGAACAUACCUGUUUGUUGCUUCGGCAGGCGGCCCCAGGGCGGGGCCAGCAGCCUGUAUGUUUUUUCAGGCGCCUGCCGGAGGCCACUUCAAACUCUUUUGUAUACGUACUGUCUGAGCCUAAAACAAAAUACGUUA
rnacentral:misc_RNA from 1 species